AUGAGGACUACCUGGAUUAUAUCGGUUCUUCUCUCAGGUUUUGUGUCUUCUUGGAACAUCUCCCAGUGGCCAGAUUCGGUUCAUGUCUAUGAAGGAGAUCCCGUCGUCCUUCACUGCUCUUUUUCCCAUCCUGCAGUAUCUGCUGCUACCUUCUGGUGGUCUUGGAAGCAUGUGGUUAUCUAUGAGUUCAAGACCAUACAAGGCGUUGUGGAGAAAAACAUAACAGACCUGUUUGACCCUCGGAUGUCCCUCAAAACUGAUUUGUCAGGAAGUAGCUAUAUAACUAUCAGUAAUGUGACUCCUGAGGACAGUUCUCUUUAUAUCUGUGCGAUGACAAUCUAUAGCCCUCUUCCUGUAACCAACAGAAAAGGUAAUGGGACCCUGGUCAGUGUGGUGAAAGGUCCCAUCACAGGAUCCUCAUCAUCUCCUCUGGAAAAUACUACUUCGUUAUCAUCCCAGACCCUUCUAACAUCUCUCCCUGCCCCCCUCUGCCUCAUUCUCUUUCCUGCCUUCGUGUUCAUUGUUGCAUGCAUUUGGUUGGGGAGCUGGAUUUAUGUGAAAUUUGGGUUGUACUAAAGGAAACCAUUGGCGUCUCUACCGUUACCUGCCCUGUUGUAAUUUUUGAAUUAGAGUUGAGUUAUUCUUUUUUCCUUGACCUGUUUGAUAUUGUCGUGCAUUUUUGCAGCUUAUUUUCUAAGUCUGGUGUGAAAAGAAAUCUAAUGUGACACAUGGAAACCAUCAGCAAGCAGGUUGGGUGCUGUUUACAGGCAAUUGUUUUUGGUUUUUAUUGUAAUUAUGGCUUAUGUGAACACUCAGCGCAGAUCACCCGGUAAAUACAUGAACAUCUUAAUGAGGCCUCCUUGGUGACAUUUGGUCGCCCCCUGGGUAAAACGGGGACACAUCUGUGUCCAACGCACGACCUCAAGAUUUUUU